GAUGAACGCUGGCGGCGUGCCUAAUACAUGCAAGUCGAGCGAACAGACGAGGAGCUUGCUCCUUCAACGUUAGCGGCGGACGGGUGAGUAACACGUAGGUAACCUACCUAUAAGACUGGGAUAACUUCGGGAAACCGGAGCUAAUACCGGAUAAUAUUUCGAACCGCAUGGUUCGAUAGUGAAAGAUGGCUUUGCUAUCACUUAUAGAUGGACCUGCGCCGUAUUAGCUAGUUGGUAAGGUAACGGCUUACCAAGGCAACGAUACGUAGCCGACCUGAGAGGAUGAUCGGCCACACUGGAACUGAGACACGGUCCAGACUCCUACGGGAGGCAGCAGUAGGGAAUCUUCCGCAAAGGGCGAAAGCCUGACGGAGCAACGCCGCGUGAGUGAUGAAGGUCUUCGGAUCGUAAAACUCUGUUAUUAGGGAAGAACAAAAGUGUAAGUAACUGUGCACGUCUUGACGGUACCUAAUCAGAAAGCCACGGCUAACUACGUG
rnacentral:rRNA from 1 species